UACGUAGGGUGCGAGCGUUGUCCGGAAUUACUGGGCGUAAAGAGCUCGUAGGCGGCUUGUCGCGUCGACCGUGAAACCUCACAGCUCAACUGUGAGCCUGCGGUCGAUACGGGCAGGCUAGAGUUCGGUAGGGGAGACUGGAAUUCCUGGUGUAGCGGUGAAAUGCGCAGAUAUCAGGAGGAACACCGAUGGCGAAGGCAGGUCUCUGGGCCGAUACUGACGCUGAGGAGCGAAAGCGUGGGGAGCGAACAGG
rnacentral:rRNA from 1 species